GACGAACGCUGGCGGCGUGCUUAACACAUGCAAGUCGAACGCUGAAGACCUGGCUUUUGUUGGGUUGGAUGAGUGGCGAACGGGUGAGUAACACGUGAGUAACCUGCCCUCUUCUUUGGGAUAACGCCCGGAAACGGGUGCUAAUACUGGAUAUUCACUGAUCUUCGCAUGGGGGUUGGUGGAAAGGUUUGUUCUGGUGGGGGAUGGGCUCGCGGCCUAUCAGCUUGUUGGUGGGGUGAUGGCCUACCAAGGCUUUGACGGGUAGCCGGCCUGAGAGAGUGACCGGUCACAUUGAGACUGAGAUACGGCCCAGACUCCUACGGGAGGCAGCGGUGGGGAAUAUUGCACAGUGGGCGAAAGCCUGAUGCAGCGACGCCGCGUGGGGAAUGGAGGCCUUCGGGUUGUAACCCUCUUUCGCUCAUGGUCAAGCCGCAACUGUGGGUUGUGGUGAGGGUAGUGGGUAAAGAAGCGCCGGCUAACUACGUG
rnacentral:rRNA from 1 species